GCUUGUGAGGUUUCAGGGAUGGAACUCCAUUGCGCUCUCUCCUCUGCUGUGUUUUGAAAUCUCCCGUGUCCUCCUUUGGCCCCAGCCCUGAGCGGGGACCAGGAAGCUCUGCGCCUCACAGUGACCAUUUGAUGCUGGAGAUGAACACUGAUGGGCAGGUUCUUCACGGAGGUACAGCUUCCAGAACUGCAAGGAGCAAAUAUCUAUUGUUGAAGGCACCCAGUCGAUGGCAUUUUGUUCCAGCAGCCCAAGCAAACGAAGAC